UACGUAGGGUGCGAGCGUUAAUCGGAAUUGCUGGGCGUAAAGCGUGCGCAGGCGGUUCGUUAAGUCAGAUGUGAAAGCCCCGGGCUCAACCUGGGAACUGCAUUUGAAACUGGCGGGCUUGAGUGUGGCAGAGGGGGGUGGAAUUCCGCGUGUAGCAGUGAAAUGCGUAGAGAUGCGGAGGAACACCGAUGGCGAAGGCAGCCCCCUGGGCCAACACUGACGCUCAGGCACGAAAGCGUGGGGAGCAAACAGG
rnacentral:rRNA from 1 species